AUUGAACGCUGGCGGCAUGCCUUACACAUGCAAGUCGAACGGCAGCACGGACUUCGGUCUGGUGGCGAGUGGCGAACGGGUGAGUAAUGUAUCGGAACGUACCUUUCAGUGGGGGAUAACGUAGCGAAAGUUACGCUAAUACCGCAUAUUCUGUGAGCAGGAAAGCAGGGGAUCGCAAGACCUUGCGCUGAUUGAGCGGCCGAUAUCAGAUUAGCUAGUUGGUGGGGUAAAGGCCUACCAAGGCUACGAUCUGUAGCGGGUCUGAGAGGAUGAUCCGCCACACUGGAACUGAGACACGGUCCAGACUCCUACGGGAGGCAGCAGUGGGGAAUUUUGGACAAUGGGGGGCAACCCUGAUCCAGCCAUGCCGCGUGAGUGAAGAAGGCCUGG
rnacentral:rRNA from 1 species